rnacentral:lncRNA from 1 species
UUAUAAAAUAGUUAUAAAAUAAACAAUUGAAGUAGGGAGAAAAUAAUUCAGUUCAUCUUGGUUUCAUUCUUUUUUUUGGAGUGAUUUUGAAAACAUGUGAGGUUUGGUGCGAAAUUGAAAACGAAAUCGAAAUUGGAAUUGGAGAAACGCUUCAUAUUCAAUUGCCAACGAUGCCGGAGUUUCAGUGGAACGGUGUUGACUGGCAAACGCUUUCGCGAUUUUCGGCGAACAGAAAACAGCAAACGAUGAACAGCGGUGAGGUUUGUUCAUCUUUAAACGUGUAAACACGAAGCUGAUCGGAACAGUUUCGGAGACGAGAUUAAUCGGUGUUGUUUCGUUGUUCUUCGUUGAAGCAUUGAAGCAAUUUUGAGGGAGGCAGAAUUAUUUCAUUCAGUGCAAUUUUCUCGGCGUAAUUAUUCAUUGGAGAAACGGUGCGGUGUUGAAUUGCGAACGGAAGUGGCGUUCUCCGGCAAAUUUCUGGCGAAGCAUUGGAGAAGAUGACCGGAAUAGAUCUUGAAUUCGAAAUCGUUCAACAGUGAUGUUGAUCGGGUUUAAUUUGAUGAAGCAAAGCAGUGGCGAAUGUGAAUCGCGAUUUGAAAGGCGCUGAAGAAUUGUUUAUGCGUGAUUGAUAGGUGCAAUUCAUACAUGUGAAGAAUCAGAUGAAUUCGACAUUACACUGUGAGUCCGUAAGUUUAAUUCAUUUGGUGUUGUUGAUGUUGUUUGGGAAAAAAUUCUGAUUAGAAUCAAUUAUUGUAUUUUCUGGAAAUUAAAAUUUCUUUUGAAGCUUUUUAACAAACAACUUAUAUGCUUUUGUUUGGUAUAUUCUGUGUGCAUAGCAAUUGAAGUUGUAUUGCACUUAAUCUAUUUGACGGUGCAGCUUAAUAUCAGUAAAAGAGUGAAAUCCAGUGAAGUAUUUUUUCUUUUCAUCGAACAGUUUCAGUGCAUUAAUUUGAAUCAAGCAGCUCAGGGAAAUUUAAACAGAACUCGGUCAAGGUGCAGAAUUCAUUGCAAAUUCUGGAAUUGCUAUAAUUAAUUUGCGUGUGAAAAUUGAGAAAUUAGUUUUUCAAGAAGAUAACGUGGUGAUUGAUUAGUGAAACUUGGUGAAUACGUGAUUUGACUAUUUGAUGCAGUGAUUCAAUUUCUCAACAAUUUUAGUGGAAAAGGUUGAGCGUGAGAAUUGGUGUACUCAAGCAUGAAAAAGUGAUAUGAGAGAGAUAUACUUGAUUGGUGAGAAUUGGAGUGCAGAGAAGUUCAUUGAAAAAUCUACUAAAUUUCAUUCCUAUAAAUUCUACUAGUGGGACCCACACCAUUUACAUUUCUUUGGUUUUAGUUUGUUGGAGCUGCCACGGUGCUGUGCAAACGAUGGGUGCAAAUUAGCUUUAAUUUCUAAAGGAAUUUCUGGUAACUGUCGUGAAUUGGUAAAAAGAAAUUCAAUUAGCAAAUUGAUAGUUCUAGUGGGGUCCAACAGAUUAUGGCUAUUCAUUGUAUGUAUGAAUUGGUAAUGAUUUUUGGUUCUAAGUGCAGAAAUUGCAUCAUUUGGUUAAAGAAAAUCAUUUUUUAGUUUCUGUUUUUUUAAUUCAAUUCAAUUUAGUGUCAUUUUCUAGGUAAUUCUUUUCAAGUGAUUAUUUUCUUUAUAAUUUUUAGUUUCUUGUUUUAAUUUUUGGAUAAUUUUUGAGUUUGUUUCAUUUCUAAUAUAUUGAAUUUAGGUUUCUUAAUUUUUGAUUUUUUAUUUAUUUUAAGUAUUAUUGACCUUUUGAGAUGAAAAUUAUUUUUUUAGUGUAAUAUUUGAAAAAUGUUGACUAACAUUAUUAGGUAGCAUCUUGGAAAAGAAAAAUAUAAAGUUAAGGAUGACUACUCUCUAGAUAACAAACAAGUAGAGGUUCAAAAGGAGGAGUGAUAGACAAUUGAGAGGGAGAUUUGACAAGCUACAGAGAUCAAACAUCAAAUUUUUUGUUUUUCAUAUUAUCAUGAAACCUUUGUUUGUGUUAAAAAUUUAACUCUUGUUUAUUUUAUUUUUGUUUGGGAAAAUGCUUUCAAAGCAAUCUCAUUAAGAACUUUGUGAUAGCAAGUGAUUAGUCCUGUGAAAAUGUGUCAAGAGACUCAAAGUGUCAGUUGCAUUUUCACUUAGAAAUUUCAUUUAGAUUUUCUUGUUUUACUUUACUUUCUUCUUGCUAAUUUAUUGUUUUUCUUUUAUUAGGUCUUCGUGAUAUCUAG